CUGCCUCCUUCCAGAUUUAAUCAGUUCCCCUCAGUUGUCUGGCAGGUCUAAACUUAGCAACCAAACCCCUUCUGCUCAAAUGGGCGUUCUCAAUGCGGGAGCAGGGUAACCUCGCGUGAAUCUCAUCUAAACGGAACAAUAGCGGUAUUGGGUUCCCUCACAUCACAAUGGCUCUAGUGUUACAUGUUAGGCUGUCACUCUACCUGUCAGCUGCCACCAGAGGACAGCAGCUUUGCAAAUUUGCACAGGUCUCUUGCUCUUUCUCUCUCAUUCUCCCCCCUUUUCCCUCUCCUUGCUCCUCUUCAUUCCUAGAGCUCUUACCCGUCAAGGGCAUGGGGACUUAUUAAAGAUGAAUUUACAGCUUACCGAGAAGAGUACCCUUCUGGCUAUUGAAAACGCCACAGAGCCCGCUGGACUGCAGUAGAAAGGAAAACAGCUCUUUAAAUACAACAACCCUGAACUAAUACACUAACUGAAUGAGAAAUUCAAAAUUAACAAUGGAAAAUGAGGAAGAGAAAUGCCCCUUCUUCAGUUACGCCCACAGAGCAAUUGAACCAGAGCCAGACAUCUGAACUUCUCUCAAGAAGGAAAAACAAAACAGAACAGCCACCAGCACAAUGACCCUCGACACCGCUCUCUCUCUCUUCCCAUCUCUCCCACUUCGCUCUGGUUAUCCGGUCCCUCCCUCUCCUCUCAAUGAAACGAAUAAAUGUAAUGAAGAGUUUGAAAACGGAAUGAGAAUGACCUC